AUCGGUGGUUAUAGUGCUGUGGCUCCACCUCUUCCCAUUCCGAACAGAGAAGUUAAGCACAGUUGCGCCAAUGGUACUGAAAAUCGGGAGAGUAGGUGACUGCCCAAU
rnacentral:rRNA from 1 species